GGGGCUGUUUUUGGAUUCGACAAAGUUAUCAAAAAAGUAAAGUGCAUGCCGAGGAACGGUUUGCCUCGAUAAAAAACCGUAAAAAAAUAGCUGCAAAUAAUAAACAAAACUACGCUUUAGCAGCUUAAAAAACUGUAUAAAGCCCUUUCAUCUCUGACUUCUCUCUUGAGAACGAGAAAUUUUUAAGAAAGGCCGACAUUUAAAGAGAAAAAUGUGAGCACUAUGCUUGAUAGUGACACAAAAUUAAUUUUUCAAGCUAUAAGCUU
rnacentral:tmRNA from 1 species